CACGUAGGGGGGCAAGCGUUGUCCGGAUUUAUUGGGCGUAAAGAGCUCGUAGGUGGUUCGGUAAGUCAGGUGUGAAACCUCCAGGCUCAACCUGGAGACGCCACUUGAUACUGCUGUGACUGGAGUCCGGUAGGGGAGCGUGGAAUUCCUGGUGUAGCGGUGAAAUGCGCAGAUAUCAGGAGGAACACCAGCGGCGAAGGCGGCGCUCUGGGCCGGUACUGACACUGAGGAGCGAAAGCGUGGGUAGCAAACAGG
rnacentral:rRNA from 1 species